AUGGCCGCCGACGGGGACCCAGCCGCGGGCACCGGCCCCGACGUCGAGGCGCACGCGCUGCUCCGCGCGUCCUCCUCCUCCUCCGACGAGGACCCCGAGCAGUGCGCCUUCGAGCCGGCCGAGAAGAUCGUCGUGUCCAUCGCCGCCGACCCCGACGCCGACGAGGAGGACCUCUUCUCCGCCACCGGCCGCGCGCCGCCCUUCUCGUGGCGCAAGCUCUGGCUCUUCACGGGGCCCGGGUUCCUGAUGAGCAUCGCCUUCCUCGACCCGGGCAACCUCGAGGGCGACCUCCAGGCCGGCGCCACCGCCGGCGACACGCUGCUCUGGCUGCUUCUCUGGGCCACGGCCAUGGGGCUGCUCGUCCAGCUGCUCGCCGCGCGCCUCGGGGUGGCCACCGGGAAGAACCUCGCCGAGCUCUGCCGCGACGAGUACCCGGACUGGGUGCGCCGCGCGCUCUGGCUCAUGGCCGAGGUCUCCAUGGUCAGCGCCGACAUCCAGGAGGUCAUCGGGAGCGCCAUUGCCAUCAAGAUCCUCAGCCGCGGAUUCCUGCCCAUUUGGGCCGGCGUUGUCAUCACCGCAUUGGACUGCUUUAUUUUUCUUUCCAUCGAGAACUACGGAGUGAGAAAAUUGGAGGCUCUAUUUGCAGUUCUGAUUGCAAUAAUGGCCUGGUCCUUCGCAUGGAUGUUCAUAGAAACCAAACCCAGUGGGAAAGACCUAAUUGUUGGUCUUCUGGUUCCUAAGCUGAGCUCAAGAACACUAAGGCAAGCAGUAGGGAUCGUGGGAUGUGUCAUCACCCCCCACAAUGUGUUCCUCCAUUCUGCUCUCGUCCAAUCAAGAAAAGUAGACCAGAACAAGGAAUACCAAGUCCGGGAAGCGCUGAGGUACUACAGCAUCGAAUCAACCAUGGCGCUGGUGGUGCCCUUCAUGAUAAACCUAUUUGUCACGACGGUUUUCGCCAAAGGGUUUUACGGCACCGAAGAAGCGCGCACGAUCGGGCUCGAAAACGCCGGACAGUAUCUCCAAGAAAAGUUUGGGGGAGAUUACUUCCCCAUCCUCUCCAUUUGGGGGGUCGGCCUGUUGGCCGCCGGCACAAGCAGCACCAUUACCGGAACCUAUGCCGGACAGUUCAUAAUGGAUGGGUUCCUCAACUGGCGGCUGAAGAAAUGGAUGAGGGCGAUGAUCACCCGAAGCUUUGCGAUCGUGCCGACGAUCGUUGUCGCGCUGUACUUCAACGCGUCUGAAUCAGCGCUGGAUGUUCUGAACGAGUGGCUCAACGUCCUCCAGUCAGUUCAGAUCCCUUUCUCGCUCAUACCGCUGAUAACGUUGGUGUCCAAGGAGCAGGUCAUGGGGGUGUUCAAGAUAGGUCUAACAACACAGAUUGUGACCUGGACGGUUGCGUCGUUGCCGAUCCUGAUCAACGGCUAUCUCUUGUUGGAUUUCUUCUCGUCGGAAAUUAGGGGCGCGGUGUCGGGCUCGUUUCUCUGCGUGGCUGUGGUUGCUUAUGCCGCGUUCCUACUCUAUCUCAUCCUCCGGUGCACGGACCUGCCUAACCAUGUAUUUACACCAGUAAACAACAAGGAUGCUAGCUUCAAAUGA
rnacentral:rRNA from 1 species